rnacentral:snRNA from 1 species
CUUUAAGUACUUUUUCGG